GACGAACGCUGGCGGCGUGCCUAAUACAUGCAAGUCGAACGCAGUGGGGACGGGUGAGUAACACGUGGGUAACCUCCCAUCAGAGGGGAUAACACUUGGAAACAGGUGCUAAACCGAUACUGAUGGAUGAACCCGCGGUUCAUUAGCUAGUUGGUGAGGUAACGGCUCACCAAGGCCACGAUGCAUAGCCGGCCGUGGGGGGGGAUCGGGCACACGGGGACUGAGACACGGCCCAGACUCCUACGGGAGGAAGCAGGAGGGAAUCUUCGGCAAUGGACGAAAGUCUGACCGGGCAACGCCGCGGGGGUGAAGGAGGUUUUCGGGUUGUAAAACUCUUUAGUUAGGGAAGCGGUAUCUGACGAAGAAGCCACGGCUAACUACGGGCCAGCAGCCGCGGUAAUAC
rnacentral:rRNA from 1 species